rnacentral:lncRNA from 1 species
GCCCUCCCGGGCAGCCCGCUGGAAGUCUGCCUGGGCGACCCCGACCGGAGCUGGGGGCAGGGGUGCCGGCUCCCUAGGACUGCUCUUAAGCGGGGUCCAGCCUCCGGGGUCCGUGACACCCCCCCCCGGGGGAAGCGGGCGCCGGGGGCUUCUUGGGCAGCUAAACAGAGGACUACUGAGCUGGGGGCUGCAGAGCUGGGAUGCCCGUCCCAGGGCUGCUCCCGACGUAGGGGGAGAGGGGCCGCGGGAACCCCCCACCCCCACCCUCAGCUCUUUGUUUUGGGCUGAGAAGAGGGGCUGUGCUUGGCCAGAGUCAUUGGCACAGUGCCUGGCACGCCGCGAGCCCUCGAAGUGUCCCGGUCUUGAUUGCAACCCCAGCGCGCGGAGAAAACGCGAAAGGGCGCGAUUACUGGGCUGACAAGAGGCUAACUGCCAUUAUUAAGCCCCCGGGCUGGUCAGGCGCGGUCACCACCCCUUUCUUCCCUCGGCAACAGCCGAGGCACACGGAGCACACAGCCUGUGUCCCAGGAUUGUGAAAGAGGCGGAGCUGGGGUGCGAACCUGGGCCAUUCGGCUCUCGCCCACUGCGCCAGGCUGAGGAAAGCCUCUCCUUGAGCCAGCCUUUGAAGACUGGGGAAGGGUGUGAUGGGUGGAGAUAACUGAUCAAGUUCCGCCCUCCCUGCCCCAGUUCGCUGUUAGACCCUGGGAAGAUGGUUGACCUUUUUAAAGACCACACUUUCCUCCACGUUAACACGGCUGAACUUGGGAAAACCAGUAAAGAAUGUGUUCACCUCCUAGCAAAUUACUGGAAGGAACAUGAGAAAUGUAAGUAGGAAUCUGGACGUGGCAGAGGAACCCAAAUUGCUCGCUUAUAGAAUGAUGGCAGUUAAUUUGGUGAUAUUAUUUCUAGAGGUACCGUUUAUUGGCUGGUGCUUAUCAAGUGCGGAUUUUUGAGGAAUGCAUUUACUAAUACAUGCAGCCAGGUCUCCACAGUUGCUGAGAGGUACCCUGAGAGAUGCUGUUCUUUUUGGUUCCCAGAGGCCUGGGAAAGGGAAGAGGGGCCAGGUGUUCUCUUUUUUUUUUUUUUCUUUUUAUGGCCGCACCUGUGGCACAGGGAUUUUCCCGGCCAGAGGCCAAAUCCGAGCUGCAGCUGAGGCCCACGCCACAGCCACACCGAUCUGAGCCACAUGUUCCACCUACACUGCAGCUUGUGGCUGCCACUGAGGGAGGCCAGGGAUCAAAUCUGUAACCCCAGGGAGACUAUACCAGGUCCCUAACCCCCUGAGCCACAAUGGGAACUCUGGGCCAGGUGUUUUUUAAUGUCUGUGAUGUGUGCCAGGUAUUUUCUGGGCUAAGUGUUAUUACCUGUCUUGUAACCUUGUUUUACCUCACAACAAACUUAAAAGGCAGGAGGGGUUUUUAUCCUUUUAUUUAUUUAUUCAUUUUUUAGGGCCACACUCAAGCCAUGUGGAUGUUCCCAGGCCAGGGGCAGAAUUGGAGCGGUAGCCACUGGCCUACACCCCAGCCACAGCAAUGGUUAUCCGAGCCUUGUCUGUGACCUACACCACAGUUCACAGCAAUGCGGGAUCCUUAACCCACUGAGUGAGGCCAGGGAUCGAACCCACAUCCUCAUGUAUGCUAGUUGGAUUCGUUUCCCCUGCACCACAAUGGGAACUCCAGGUUUUUAUCCUUUUAGAAAUGAAGAGAAUGAAGCUUAGGAGAGUUAAGUAAACCAGCCCCAUUGGUGCUGAAAAAAUUUUCCUAAACCACGCUUUUCCCGCUUUUCCCGUUGUUGAUACAUCCAGGUUCAGAGUCUAUUAAUAUUUAAUGAAUAGCUACUUAUGCCAGGUGACUUUGAGUAUUUUUUUUAAUCCUCAAGACAGCAGCCCCUUAUGCUUUUUGCUCUUUUCAGCUGAUUACUUGAAAUCAACUAGCAAACCUUAAAAAAAAAAAAAAAAAAAAAAAAAAAAAA